GUGCUCACUUGGGCAGCACAUAUACUAAAAUCAGAACAAUACAGAGAAGAUUAGCAUGGCCCCUGCAUAAGGAUGACACUCCAAUUCAUGAAGCGUUCCAUAUUUUU